GAUGAACGCUGGCGGCGUGCCUAAUACAUGCAAGUCGAGCGCACGGACGAUACGCUUGCUUCUCAGACGAUAGCGGCGGACGGGUGAGUAACACGUGGAUACCCUACUUAUAAGCCUGGGAUAACUUCGGGACUCCGGAACUCAUUACGGAUUAUCUUUUGAACUGCAUGGUUCAAAAGUAAAAGAUGGAAUUGUUCUAUUUUAUCGCUAGCUCCGCGAUGUAUUAGCUAGUAGGUAAGGUAACGGUUAACCACGGAAACGAUGCAUAGCAGACCUCCGAGGUGGAUCGGCCACACGGGAACGGGAACACGGUCCAGACUCCUACGGGAGGCAGCAGUAGGGAAUCUUCCCCAAUGGGCGAAGGCCUGACGGGGCAACGCCGCUUGGUGAAGGAAGGUCUUCGGAUCGUAAAACUCUGUUAUUAGGGAAGAACAUUUGGGUAAGGAACUGUGCACAUCGUGACGGUACCUAAUCAGAAAGCCACGGCUAACUACGUG
rnacentral:rRNA from 1 species